UUUCACAUUUAUAAUAUUAGUAUGAUUUAUACAGGAAUUGAUAAACGACGACAUAGUAGACGAGGCGGAAAAUUCUCAGAGUGAUGGAGAGAAGAAUUCACCAAGUGAUACUGAAGAGGAAUCGACCACCAAAGCGGAGGGAGCUGGAGAUGACAAGCCCAGCGAGGUGCGCAAGCGUCGCCCGCGCAAAGCUGACUAAACACCCCCUAAACAUCCCCCCACCACUCCCCAUUGUAGCCCAACAAUCCGCCAUACAUGAAAUAUACAGUGGGUAACAGCUGAAACACUAAUAAAUCAACCCCUUCCUAAACAUAAUCUAUUCCCGAAUCAUACAAUCCCCCCUCUCCCUAAUCACAAUCCCCCAAUUUCACAAUCACCCCUCCAGAAUUACAAUCACCCCAUCCCCUAAAAUCUUGCACUUACCCUCUGGGGUCUAGGAAAAAUGUAUUAACCCUUCAAUACCUACCCCACCCUAGACCUCCCCCACAU